rnacentral:lncRNA from 1 species
UGCUGUUGAAAAAAAAGAUAGAAAAUGACAGUCUUAAUUUCCAACUCUGACACCUUUUAAAUUUUAGAUAAAUGAAAUGAAGUCUGGCGAGAGCGAGUGUGACAGAGCAUUCAUCUUAGUACUUUUAUUACGAUAAUCCAUUCUUGGCUUUCUGAACUAAACUAUAUUUUUAAGAAUAUUUAUGAUAGAAAUAAAAAUGUAUAGUUUAUAAAAUGACGUACAUUGAUGUCAUUGAUAAGAUGGCGUUCAGUUUACUCAGGUAAGUGAUUUUUUAGCUUAUCUAAGUUUCCGGUGAAAGUAAAGUUUGUGAAAAGAGACCGCGGAAAACCAAUAUCAAAAGUCAGAGUUUUCAAUUGACUCCACUAAAAAAUUUUGUUAUAUCAAUUAGGAAACACUUCACUUUUUUGCCUUUGUAUCUAUACACCUAUUUUAAUAGACGUUGUCAUCGCCAAAGGCAAUAGGUCAUUCCAAUAUGGAAAUGGUUUCGUUGAAUACAAAGAACAUUGAAUCAGUCUGGUCUCAACACUAAGGUCCAUGUUCUUGACGAGAGUAAGAUAGAAGCAGAAACACCAUUCAUUCCAACUAUUCUUGGAUUUUGGAAUGACCUAUCUCCUAUCGCUUCAUCGCCUAUUGCCAAUCGCCUUUGGCGACGACAACGUUUAUUGAAAUAGGUGUAUAUCUGGGAGUCUUUUUUUCUUUUUGUUUUUGAAUCCAGAUGAGAAAAUGUAGAAUGAAACUUAGACACUUUUAAAGUCUUCAGUUAACUUUACCAAAGUAUACAAUUCUGACUUUGCUUCAAUAGCGGUGAAUUCGAUACAUGUAAUAGUUUGUACACAAAAACCAUCUAAGUUUGUGGUAGAAGGUUGUCAACGGAAGUAUAAACGAGUGUUGUACAAAAUCUUCAAAUCUGCAUUUACCUUUGUGCAACAUUGUAAUCCUGUUAGAUGUCAAUAAUGGCGGAAAGAUUUCGACGGCACUUCACAGCUCAUCUGUGUUUUUUAUUUUCUUCAUAGUUCUAACGUUGAUUAAUGUCUUCGAAUUAUAGUCAUUGCCAGACCCUCAACUUGAACCACACCAGGAGAAAUCCCUAGAAAACUGAAUUCAUUAUCAUAGCUCUUAAGCGUUUUAUUAUAAAGUUUAUUUUGACAAGUACUAAUGAGAAUUUUGGAAGUUAAGCUGCAAAUCGUUCCUGAAGAAGCCCCCAUCAAGCUGUUUAGUGCUGGGAACUCGCUUUAUAAUGAUAAUAAUAAUAGUCAGAUAAAGCUAGAUAUUGGUAUCAAUAUCUAUGAGGCUCUAGCAGUAUCCUGGGACUUAUAUCAUAAGGUAUUUUUAAGAUUAUACGAAUUUUAUCACGGAAGACGGAACUUAUCGAAAGCACAAGUGGUCUCAGUACGUUUGAAGAAGUUGUUUGAACAAAGAUAUCGGAGGUACUUUGCAAUGUCCACUACCUAAUUCAGUAAAAGGGAUACAGCUAGACAAUUCAAUGGUAAUCUUGUUUAUUUUGAGGAUUAAAAUCCUUGUGUAUUUAUCCAGGUCAUCAAAUAUUGAAUUAUCCUAUUGUAAGCGCAUUCAGGCGCAUUCAGGAAGUCCCCUCAGGCCAGACGUCAAUACAGUGCUACCCUACCCAUCCCUCCACGGGUGCAAUUGUGUAAGUAAAUACAGCUGCAGGUGGAGGUAUCAUAGCAACGUUUUUUGAGCUGGCAGUUGCAUGCGACGUUGUCCUUAUUCCUCCGUUAUCAGUCAAUACAGUUUGGCUCGUGAGUAGAAUUUAUAAUUAUCUUCAUUUUUCCCGAUAAGCUGUAUUGGACUUUGUCGUGUUUUUAUGAACCAAGUUUUAAAGGGUUAUAAAAAAACUAUUGGAGUAUGUACAAGGCCGGCUAAGUCUCUCGUAAUCUUGAGAGCUAGAUAGAGUGUUGGGAGAAAACCAUGUAGUUGUUGUCAGUAGCUGGUGAGUUAGCAGUGUUUAUAAAGACUGGUUGACGAUCGAAUG